rnacentral:rRNA from 1 species
AUUGAACACUGGCGGCAGGCCUAACACAUGCAAGUCGAGCGGAUGAAGGGAGCUUGCUCCUGGAUUCCGCGGCGGACGGGUGAGUAAUGCCUAGGAAUAUGCCUGGUAGUGGGGGAUAACGACCGGAAACGGGCGCUAAUACCGCAUACGUCCUGAGGCAGAAAGAGGGGGAUCUUCGGACCUCACGCUAUCAGAUGAGCCUAGGCCGGAUUAGCUAGUUGGUGGGGUAAAGGCCUACCAAGGCGACGAUCCGUAACUGGUCUGUGAGGAUGAUCAGUCACACUGGAACUGGGACACGGUCCAGGCUCCUACGGGAGGCAGCAGUGGGGAAUAUUGGACAAUGGGCGAAAGCCUGAUCCAGCCAUGCCACGUGUGUGACGAAGGUCUUCGGAUUGUAAAGCCCUUUUAGUUGGGGGAAAGGGCAGUAAGUUAAUACCUUGCUGUUUUGACGUUACCAACAGAAUAAGCACCGGCUAACUUCGUG